ensembl:lncRNA
CAUCAUCAAAGGAAGGAAAAUGGUAGGCAUGAGUAAACCACAAAACCACCCUCCCGGAAACAGAGUUAAAAACAUGUUUAGGAGAUCUUUUAUUUACUACUUCACAAAUUGCUGAUGACUGUAGCACCAAGUGUUUCAAAUGAGGUUUUCAGUCAUCCACAUUAGGAAUCCGAAGAAAAUGAAGCCACUUGUCGUAUUGUUUAUGAUUUCUUAUUUUAUUCAACUCACAGUUACCAGUGGAGCAGAACUUUCAGUUGUACAAUAUCCCCAGGACAUCAAUGUGUCUCUUAAUUCAACUGUUUUGAUACUGUGUGAAUUUGACUACCCAGAUAAAACCAUAAAUAAUACAUUGACAGAGGUGUAUUGGAGGAAAGACCCUACCAGUAAUCAGCCGGCGCUCCAGCCAACCACAAGUACCUCUGAUGUUCAAAAGUCACAGAUACAAAUUAAAACAGAACAGUCCAAAAAAAUUUCAAUCUUACGACUGGACAACGUUCAGCUGAAAGAUGCUGUCAUGUAUUUCUGUGAUGUAUGGCUAACUUUUCCACCACCGGUAAGGCACAAAUUUGGAAGUGGCAGCAGGCUGACAGUACAUGAGUCCAAAUGCAAUGGCAAUAUCAGACAUGAUAAAACGUGGUGGGUGUGGUUCUUUCUUCUUGGAUACAGCAUCUGUUCCUCCGUUAUUAUCAUAGCUUUCUCUAUUCUUCAGUGCUGUAAAAAGCAUAGGAACAACUCAAGAAAUACAGAUGGCAUCUGCACUUUGCCAAGCGAAUGGAUUUAUGAUAAACCAUCCAUGACUCUUAAUAAUGGAUUUAACCAAGAAUAUGAAGAUAUGAGACUAAUAAAGACUUUUACUCACAGUGGAAGAUAUGAAAAAGCUGGAUGCAUGCAUAAUUGAAUUACAUUAGCACAUGUAACAAGUACUUUUCUACCCCCACAAAAAACUUGGUUAAUUUAGAGUUAGCGUUGCUGAUGUGAAUUUCGUAUCAACACAAUCACUAAAAAUCAAAGAAACCACCAGUUAAGGCAAAAUGAACAUUGAAGCCCAUCUCACUGUAUAUGUCUUACCACCCAAAGGCACUCAGAAUCCUCUGACAGAUCUAAUUCUUCUUAAUCACAAGAACAAAGGUACAGCAUGAAUGUUCAUCUUCGGUUAGAUUAUGAUACAUUCCCCAUGAGCACAAAUGCAGUGGCAAAAUCUGCAAUGUGUUAUUUGUCCAUUAAAAAGUAGGAUGUCAGAUUUAGAAUUGUGAAUUGGAGUGUGUUUGGGAGGAAUUCCCAUACCUAUCACCAGCCUACUAUUUUGCCCCACCUCUAUUUCCUUCUUUCGGUGCCCCUUUUUGCCUCUCAACUCCUUUCAACCUCUCCCACUCUCAGAUAUCCAGCCAUUUCCCUCACUCUGAUCACCUUGGAUAUAUACACUUCCCAACAAAAUGUAGCUUGCAAGGGAAGGGAAAAAAAUCUACUUUAAAAUUACUGGAAACAUACUGAUGUGCACAUAACAUAUGUGAGUGAAUGCAUGAGCUAAGUACCGUAACCCUUGUCCUGUCUUCCCUGAUCCUCCUGACUCACUGAUGUGUCAUGUCCAAAAUUAGAUUGUAAGCUCUUCUGGGCAGGCACAAUGUCAUUUAUAUUUUCUAAGGUACCUAGCACACUUGUAAAGCCUGUAUAAAUAAUUUAGCGAGGCUGCAUAGAAAUAGUUUACUUUCAUUUGCAUAGUGAUUAACUACUACUUGAGGUAGUCUUACAACAGAAUGAAUAAUGGUUGUAUAUAAAUGACUUGGGGAAAAUUAAUACUUCUGGACAAAAUCUACUCAAAUUGCCCUGAAAGAAAGAGCAAUUUUUUUGCAUAAGCUGAUAUUGUUUUGACUCCAUAUUGAUGAGCAGAUAUCUCACCAAGGAAAGUAACCGUCUUGGGUCGAAGGAGGAGGUUGCUAUAACUGAAUGGCAGAAGCUACCACAGACAUUCUCUUUAGAGCAGUGGUUCUCAAACUGUAGGUCGGGACCCCAAAGUGGGGUGUGACCCCAUUUUAAUGGGGGCACCAGGGCAGGCCUUAGACUUGCUGGGACCCAGGGCUGAAGCUGAAGCCCAAGCUCCACCCUCACCUGGGGCAGAAGGGGGUCGCGGUGCAAUGAAGUUUGAGAACUUCUAGAGUGUCUUCUUCUUAGCAAGUAUCAGAGGGGUAGCCGUGUUUGUCUGGAUCUGAAAAAAGCGAGAGUCCUGUGGCACCUUAUAGACUAACAGACAUAUUGGAGCAUAAGCUUAUGUGGGUGAAUAAGCUUAUGCUCCAAUACGUCUGUUAGUCUAUAAGGUGCCACAGGACUCUUCAUUGCUUCUGCUUAGCAGACUCUCAAAGUGCUGUGUUCUCUGACCGGGGUAAAAGACUAAACAAUCCCCACCAUGCUAUAAAUCAUGGUGAUUUUGCAAUAUUUUGUAACAUUAAAUGUAAUGCCAAUCUAGUGAGGCUUUCUGCAGUACUUGUCUAGGCAUUUAGGUGUUUAUCUUUUAUUUAAUCGUGCUAUCUCUCUAUUUGUAAAAUUGCCAAUAAAAACACUUUGGUUUAAGCCA